CUGAAGCCGAGUUUAACAAAAAAUUGAACCAGCAUCAUGAGAGUGAAGUAUGGAAGAGCCAGCCUAAGCGUCGUCAAUACAUCAAUGGGCAAUGGCUAGCGAAUGACAAACACACGAUGUGGGUCUGGGCCUACCGGGACAACGGACAUACUCUGGUGGUCAACACCAACAAUGGUGUAGAGGCACAUAACAAGGUAUUCAAGUAUGAAGACUGUCUCGAGUUUGAUGACCCUUCUUGUAGAGGAUUUCUUUGUGGAAUCCUAUCGCAAUAUUUUUCAUUGUUUUGGUAAGUAAUUAGGAGUAUUGUGUCAAUAUUGUUUGGCUUGGUGUCAGCUUUGCUUUAAUUGGUGUC